rnacentral:lncRNA from 1 species
UAAACUUUUAGUUAUCAGUAUUCAAUUAUCAGAACUCAGUAUUUCAAUUUCAGUCUGAUUAAAGCAGAUGUUUUAUGCAGAAUAUUGCAUACUCAGCACAUUCAGUAGUUAUAAUUUUGCAUGUACUCUCAUCCAGUUACUUCAUGAUGUACAUUCAAUCAAUUAUCAUCUCAUGCAUAUAAACCUAUGUAUAUCAACCUACCUCACUU